UACGAAGGGGGCUAGCGUUGUUCGGAAUUACUGGGCGUAAAGCGUAUGCAGGCGGAUCGUUAAGUCGGGGGUGAAAUCCCGAGGCUCAACCUCGGAACUGCCUUCGAUACUGGCGACCUUCGAGUCCGGGAGAGGCGAGUGGAAUUCCCAGUGUAGCGGUGAAAUGCGUAGAUAUUGGGAGGAACACCAGUGGCGAAGGCGGCUCGCUGGACCGGAACUGACGCUGAGGCGCGAAAGCGUGGGGAGCAAACAGG
rnacentral:rRNA from 1 species